AUUUAAAUAGUUUAAUAAAAAAUAUUGAUUUGUGGUGUCGAUGAUAUGAAUUUAUUCAUUUUAAAUU
rnacentral:tRNA from 2 species